CAUGAGCGGAGGCAGGGGCAGAGGGCGAGGGAGAGAGCGAGAACCCCAAGCCGACUGCGCACGGAGCCCACCACGGGGCUCCAUCCCACAAGCCCAGGAUCGUGGCCCGAGCUGAAAUCCAGAGUCGGAAGCCCAGCCCCCUGAGCCCCCCGGGCGCCCCCAUUCCUCAGCCGCUUUAACCAGUGCCCUCUCUGCCGACCUCACAGUUUCUCAUAAACAGUGCUGUGGGAUUUUAUUUAUUCAUGAGAGACAGAGAGGGAGAGACACAGGCAAAGGGAGAAGCAGGCUCCAUGCAGGAAACCCAAGGCGGGACUCGAUCCCAGGACCCCGGGAUCAUGCCUUGAGCCGAGGGGAGACACUCAACUGAAACCAGAAGCCAUGGCGAGAGGCAACCCCACCAUCAUCUCCGAAUUCCUCUUCAUGGGACUGUCAGAAGUGCCAGAGCAUCAGGCCUUCCUCCUCAGGCUGUUCUUAUCAACGUACCUGGUCACCAUGGUGAGGAAUCUGCUCAUCAUGCUGGUCAUCAGUUCUUCCAAACACCAGCCUCCACACCCGCCAUGAAUUCUUCAUAGCCAAGCGGUCCUGCAUCAACAUCUGCUUUAGCUCUGCCACUAGAUAAAAAAUGCUGGUCAAAGAGCUGGUCAAAAUAAUAGUCAUUAGCCAAAUGACAAGCUUCAAUAUUUCAUUCAUAGGAAAUAUUGAAAAUAUAUGAACCAAGCAUUUAACUCAAGAAAGUAGGAAAACAACAGCGUCAACACAAAUGCAAAAGAAAGAAGGGGGAAAAACUAACAACAAUAAAAGCAGUAAGCGUUCUGAACCCAUGUAGAAUGGGCCAGUGGAAGCAAGUGCUGGUUCUUUGAAAAGACCCACAGUACAGAAGUGACCGCGUGGAAAUUUGGCAGGUAGACCAUAAAAGGCUCUCCAGCUUCACUUGCUUUCUCCUAGCUAACUCUCACCAGGGAAGCUCCUCAGGAGAGGAGAUCCAGGUGGUAGGAAACUGAAGCCGCCAGCCAACAACCAUGUGAGUGGCUUCUGUGAGCCACUUCGGAAGCAGAUUUGCUAGACCAGCCCAGCCCUCAGGUGACUGUAGCACUGACCGACAACUUCACUGUGACCUCACGAAAGACCCUGUGCUAACUACCCCGGCUACGCCACUCCUGGAACCCUGACUCUCAGAAACAACAAAUGUCUGUUCCUUUAAGCUACUAACGUUUGGAGUAAUUUGCUAUGCAGCAACAGACAACGAUACUCGUAAAGAAGACUAUUCCUGUUAGCCAAAGGGAUAAUAUCCUACGUUAGAUUCAACAAACACUGCUACACACUCCUCCACAGAUGUAGUGCCUUUGCAUGCCCACAAUGUGUGAAAGUGCCUCUAUCUCCACAGUCUUGCCACCGCAGUAAACUGUCAAGACUUGAAUUUUGGCAAUCCAGUAGGUGGGAACUGGUAUCUCAAUGUAUUUUAGAUUUAUAUUUCUUUUUUUAAAAGAUUUUAUUUAUUUACUCAUGAGAGACAGAGAGAGACAGCAAGAGAGGCAGAGACACAGGCAGAGGGAGAAGCAGGCUCCAUGCAGGGAGCCCGACUUGAGACUCGAUCCCGGGACCCCAGGUACACAUCCCCAGGCCGAAGGCAGACCCUAAACGGCUGAGCCACUCAGGGAUCCCAGCUUUAUAUUUCUGUUAUGAUUCAGCCUGAACACUUUUUUAUGUUUUUUAAUAGAUUUUAUUUAUUUAUUCAUGAGACACACACACAGGCAGAGACACAGGCAGAGGGAGAAGCAGGCUCCAUGCAGGGAGCCCGACAUGGGACUCAACCCCGGGUCUCCAGGAUCACACCCCGGGCUGAAGGCGGCGCUAAACUGCUGAGCCACCCAGGCUGCCCACUGUUUUAUAUGUUUAAGGACCAUUUGCAUUUCCUUUUCUGUGAACCAUCUGCUAAUAUCCCUUUGCCCAUUUUUUUUUAUUUCCUAUCAAUAUUUAGCAGAUUUUUUUUUUAUAUGUUAGGGAUGUUAGCUCUUUGGAAGUGACAUACAUUGCAAAAGUGUUUUUCCUAUUUGUUAUUUCUCUCUCUCUCUCUCUCUCUCUCUCUUUUUUUUUUCUUCUGGAGUGAUAUUUUGACAUGCAGACUAUUAGUAUCAUGAAAUUGAUUGGUCCUAACUUUAUCGAGGAUAUUCUUUUUAUUUCUUAACAGAAGACUUUAUUUAUUUGAGAGAUAUUUAUUUUUUUAAUUAAUUAAUUAUUUAUUAAUUAAUUAUUUAUUUAUUUAUGAGAGAGAGAGAGAGAGAGACAGAGACAGACAGACAGAGACAUAGGCAGAGGGAGAAGCAGGCUCCAUGCACCGAGAGCCCGACGUGGGAUUCGAUCCCAGGUCUCCAGGAUUGCGCCCUGGGCCAAAGGCAGGUGCUAAACCGCUGCGCCACCCACGGAUCCCCUUGAGAGAUAUUUAUAGAGAGAACACAAUCAGAGGGAAGGAGCAGACUGAGAAGGAGAAGCCUACUCCCUGCUGAGCAGGGAGCCUGAUUUGGGGCUCAAUCUGGGACCCUGAGAUCAUGACCUGAGGCCUAAGACAGAUGAUUAAUUGAGCCACUGAGGUGCCCCUGGGAUAUUGUGUUUAAAAUUAUUUAUUUAUUUAUUUAUUUAUUUAUUUAUUUAUUUAUUUAUGAGCGCGCGCGCGAGAGAGAGAGAGAGACAGAGGGAGAGACACAGGCAGAGGGAGAAGCAGGCUCCAUGCAGGGAGCCCGACAUGGGACUCCAUCCCAGGUCUCCAGGAUCACACCCUGGGCCGAAGGUGGAGCUAAGCCAUGGAGCCACUCGGGCUGCCCGGGAUAUUCUUUUGAAAUGUAAAUAAUUCUAACGUUUAUCUGGAACAACAUGAAAAAGUAACCAGGAACCUGCUGAAAAAGGACCCUAAUGACCAGAGAAUAGCUAGUCGACCCUCAAAAUGCCUACCAAUGCUAAAUGUAGUGAGAACAUGCUGUUGUGUUGUAUGUUUACACUAACACAGAGAAUAUUCCAGGAUGAUUUAGACCUGGAUGGAUACAGGAUGUUUUCCAAAAUCCUGAGGAAAAAUAAUUAUCAUGGGCAGAGGAGCUAAGAGCCCAGUGAUGCCGAGAGGACCACCAGAAGCUUCACACAGAUGUUUCAGUCAUUUUCUCCAAAUGCCCUGAAAAUGACAAGAUGUGGCUGAGGAAGACACAGACACUCUCCCCUAAAUGGAAAACAAAACAGCCCAAGGAUCCUAAUCAUCUCAAGAGUCUUUCGGGCAUUCCCUUCCUUUAUUAUAAGCAUUCUACUCUAGUCAAGGAGAACAUCUUUCUCUUUCCAUGGAAGAAGCUACAAAGAAACUGGGAGAAAUGAAUAGAUGAUGAGGUUAUUCGUAUUGGAAAAAAUCUAGGGUGGAUAUUUGUUGCAUAAGCAGCUAAGAGAAACCAGAUGUAAAAAAGAGAAAGAAAGAAAAUGGACUUCCAGGUUCUAGUUCAGCAUAUAAGAGAUUGGAAGUUGUCACUCUGCCCUAACAAUCAGCCAAAAGCCGAACAAACAAAAUAAAAAACCCUUGCUAGAAGUGUCAGAGAACCGGGGUUAUGGGGCAAAUCGCUGCCCCCCAAAUGGAAGAGACACAUAGAUAAAGAGAAUCACAACUGGAGUGCCUGGGUGGCUCAGUUGGUGAAGUCUCUGCCUUCCGCUUGGGUCUCGAUCCCAGUGUCCUGGGAUCAAGCCCUGCAUCGGGCUCCCUGCUUGGUGGGGAACCUGCCUCUUCCUCCA